GGCCAGGUAGCUUAGCUGGAUAAAGCAUACGUUAUAUCAAGAAAACAGAAUACGUUGGUUCAAACCCAACCUUGGCCA